CUUUCGUUCGCGAGAAUGAGCCGCGAUCGCCGUCUCACCGUCGCAUGCUUUCACUCGCACAUGCAGCAUACGGCACGCGUCGACGAUUUAUCGCCCGUGGACCUUAUACGGAACCUCAUGGCGACGACGCCG
rnacentral:lncRNA from 1 species